AACGAACGCUGGCGGCAUGCCUAACACAUGCAAGUCGAACGAGAUCUUCGGGUCUAGUGGCGCACGGGUGCGUAACGCGUGGGAAUCUGCCCUUUGGUUCGGAAUAACAGUUGGAAACGACUGCUAAUACCGGAUGAUGACGAAAGUCCAAAGAUUUAUCGCCAGAGGAUGAGCCCGCGUAGGAUUAGCUAGUUGGUGUGGUAAAGGCGCACCAAGGCGACGAUCCUUAGCUGGUCUGAGAGGAUGAUCAGCCACACUGGGACUGAGACACGGCCCAGACUCCUACGAGAGGCAGCAGUGGGGAAUAUUGGAUAAUGGGCGAAAGCCUGAUCCAGCAAUGCCGCGUGAGUGAUGAAGGCCUUAGGGUUGUAAAGCUCUUUUACCCGGGAUGAUAAUGACAGUACCGGGAGAAUAAGCUCCGGCUAACUCCGUGCCAGCCGCCGCGGUAA
rnacentral:rRNA from 1 species